UACCAGCACCCCGAGUGGUCGGGACGUUUAUUGGGCCUAAAGCAUCCGUAGCCGGUUCUACAAGUCUUCCGUUAAAUCCAACUGCUUAACAGGUGGGCUGCGGAAGAUACUAUAGAGCUAGGAGGCCGGGAGAGGCAAGCGGUACUCGAUGGGUAGGGGUAAAAUCCGUUGAUCCAUUGAAGACCACCAGUGGCGAAGGCGGCUUGCCAGAACGCGCUCGACGGUGAGGGAUGAAAGCUGGGGGAGCAAACCGG
rnacentral:rRNA from 1 species